rnacentral:snRNA from 1 species
GUCUCUUCGGAGACAUCUGAUAAAAUUGGAACGAUACAGAGAAGAUUAGCAUGGCCCCUGCACAAGGAUGACACGCACAAAUCGAGAAAUGGUCCAAAUUUAU